GUGCAGCAGGCGCGAAAACUUCACACUGUGCGAAAGCACGAUGAGGGAAUCCCAAGUGCUUGCACGUAAGUGUAAGCUGUUUCUCUGUCUAAAACGCAGAGAGAGUAAGGGCUGGGUAAGACGGGUGCCAGCCGCCGCGGUAAUACCUGCAGCUCAAGUGGUGACCGUUAUUAUUGGGCCUAAAACGUCCGUAGCCGGUUUAAUAAAUGCCUGGGUAAAUUGUGUAGCUUAACUAUACGAAUUCCGGGUAGACUGUUAAACUUGAGACCGGGAGAAGUUAGAGGUACUCCUGGGGUAGAGGUGAAAAUUCUGUAAUCCUAGGGGGACCACCAGUGGCGAAGGCGUCUAACUAGAACGGGUCUGACGGUGAGGGACGAAGCCCUGGGGGCGCAAACGGGGAUUAGAUACCCCGUAGU
rnacentral:rRNA from 1 species